rnacentral:rRNA from 1 species
AGAGUUUGAUCCUGGCUCAGGAUGAACGCUAGCGACAGGCUUAACACAUGCAAGUCGAGGGGCAGCGGGGGUAGCAAUACCCGCCGGCGACCGGCGCACGGGUGAGUAACGCGUAUGCAACUUACCUAUCAGAGGGGGAUAACCCGGCGAAAGUCGGACUAAUACCGCAUGAAGCAGGGGCCCCGCAUGGGGAUAUUUGCUAAAGAUUCAUCGCUGAUAGAUAGGCAUGCGUUCCAUUAGGCAGUUGGCGGGGUAACGGCCCACCAAACCGACGAUGGAUAGGGGUUCUGAGAGGAAGGUCCCCCACAUUGGUACUGAGACACGGACCAAACUCCUACGGGAGGCAGCAGUGAGGAAUAUUGGUCAAUGGGCGUAAGCCUGAACCAGCCAAGUCGCGUGAGGGAUGAAGGUUCUAUGGAUCGUAAACCUCUUUUAUAAGGGAAUAAAGUGCGGGACGUGUCCUGUUUUGUAUGUACCUUAUGAAUAAGGAUCGGCUAACUCCGUGCCAGCAGCCGCGGUAAUACGGAGGAUCCGAGCGUUAUCCGGAUUUAUUGGGUUUAAAGGGUGCGUAGGCGGCCUUUUAAGUCAGCGGUGAAAGUCUGUGGCUCAACCAUAGAAUUGCCGUUGAAACUGGGGGGCUUGAGUAUGUUUGAGGCAGGCGGAAUGCGUGGUGUAGCGGUGAAAUGCUUAGAUAUCACGCAGAACCCCGAUUGCGAAGGCAGCCUGCCAAGCCAUGACUGACGCUGAUGCACGAAAGCGUGGGGAUCAAACAGGAUUAGAUACCCUGGUAGUCCACGCAGUAAACGAUGAUCACUAGCUGUUUGCGAUACAUUGUAAGCGGCACAGCGAAAGCGUUAAGUGAUCCACCUGGGGAGUACGCCGGCAACGGUGAAACUCAAAGGAAUUGACGGGGGCCCGCACAAGCGGAGGAACAUGUGGUUUAAUUCGAUGAUACGCGAGGA